AGUUGAUCCUGGCUCAGAACGAACGCUGGCGGCAGGCCUAACACAUGCAAGUCGAACGGUAACAGAGAAGAGCUUGCUCUUUUGCUGACGAGUGGCGCACGGGUGCGUAACGCGUAUACAAUCUACCUUUUACAGGGGUAUAGCCUUUAGAAAUGAAGAUUAACACCCCAUAGUAUCUAAUUAUCUCAUGGUAUUUAGAUUAAAACUUCGGUGGUAAAAGAUGAGUAUGCGUUCUAUUAGCUAGAUGGUAAGGUAACGGCUUACCAUGGCGACGAUAGAUAGGGGCCCUGAGAGGGGGAUCCCCCACACUGGUACUGAGACACGGACCAGACUCCUACGGGAGGCAGCAGUGAGGAAUAUUGGACAAUGGGCGAGAGCCUGAUCCAGCCAUGCCGCGUGCAGGAUGACUGCCCUAUGGGUUGUAAACUGCUUUUAUAUAGGAAGAAACCUUUCCACGUGUGGAAAGCUGACGGUACUAUAAGAAUAAGGAUCGGCUAACUCCGUGCCAGCAGCCGCGGUAAUACGGAGGAUCCAAGCGUUAUCCGGAAUCAUUGGGUUUAAAGGGUCCGUAGGUGGAUAAUUAAGUCAGAGGUGAAAUCCUGCAGCUCAACUGUAGAAUUGCCUUUGAUACUGGUUAUCUUGAAUUAUUGUGAAGUGGUUAGAAUAUGUAGUGUAGCGGUGAAAUGCAUAGAUAUUACAUAGAAUACCAAUUGCGAAGGCAGAUCACUAACAAUAUAUUGACACUGAUGGACGAAAGCGUGGGGAGCGAACAGGAUUAGAUACCCUGGUAGUCCACGCCGUAAACGAUGGUCACUAGCUGUUCGAACUUCGGUUUGAGUGGCUAAGAGAAAUUGAUAAGUGACCCACCUGGGGAGUACGUUCGCAAGAAUGAAACUCAAAGGAAUUGACGGGGGCCCGCACAAGCGGUGGAGCAUGUGGUUUAAUUCGAUGAUACGCGAGGAACCUUACCAGGGCUUAAAUGUAAGUUGCAUUAGUUAGAGAUAGCUAUUUCUUCGGACCACUUACAAGGUGCUGCAUGGCUGUCGUCAGCUCGUG
rnacentral:rRNA from 1 species